rnacentral:rRNA from 1 species
CCUACGGGCGGCAGCAGUGAGGAAUAUUGGUCAAUGGACGAAAGUCUGAACCAGCCAAGUAGCGUGAAGGAUGACUGCCCUAUGGGUUGUAAACUUCUUUUAUAUGGGACUAAAAUGUUCCACGUGUGGGAUUUUGUAUGUACCAUCUGAAUAAGGACCGGCUAACUCCGUGCCAGCAGCCGCGGUAAUUCGGAGGAUACGAGCGUUAUCCGGAUUUUUUGGGGUUAAAGGGAGCGUAGGUGGAUUGUUAAGUCAGUUGUGAAAGUUUGCGGGUCAACCGUAAAGUUGCAGUUGAAACUGGCAGUCGUGAGUACAGUAGAGGCAGGCGGAAUUCGUGGUGUAGCGGUGAAAUGCUUAGAUAUCACGAAGAACUCCGAUGGCGAAGGCAGUUCACUGGACUGCAACUGACGCUGAGGCUCGAAAGUGUGGGUAGCAAACAGGAUUAGAUACCCGGGUAGUC